rnacentral:rRNA from 1 species
GCAGCACGAGAGAGCUUGCUCUCUUGGUGGCGAGUGGCGGACGGGUGAGUAAUAUAUCGGAACGUGCCCAGUAGCGGGGGAUAACUACUCGAAAGAGUGGCUAAUACCGCAUACGCCCUACGGGGGAAAGGGGGGGAUUCUUCGGAACCUCUCACUAUUGGAGCGGCCGAUAUCGGAUUAGCUAGUUGGUGGGGUAAAGGCUCACCAAGGCAACGAUCCGUAGCUGGUUUGAGAGGACGACCAGCCACACUGGGACUGAGACACGGCCCAACUCCUACGGGAGGCAGCAGUGGGGAAUUUUGGACAAUGGGGGAAACCCUGAUCCAGCCAUCCCGCGUGUAUGAUGAA